AAGACACGUGCAGACGAGACUGGUUGAGCCUCGAGCUUCAUCACUCAACAGCGGGGACUGCUUCCUCCUGCUCUCUCCCCAUUACUGUUUCCUGUGGGUAGGAGAGUUUGCAAAUGUCAUAGAAAAGGCGAAGGCCUCAGAACUUGCAACUUUAAUCCAGACAAAGAGGGAACUGGGUUGUAGAGCUACUUACAUCCAAACUAUCGAAGAAGGGAUUAAUACACAUACUCAUGCAGCCAAAGACUUCUGGAAGCUUCUGGGUGGCCAAACCAGUUAUCAGUCUGCUGGAGACCCGAAAGAAGAUGAGCUGUAUGAAACAGCCAUAAUAGAAACAAACUGCACUUACCGUCUGAUGGAUGACAAGCUUGUUCCCGAUGACGACUUCUGGGGGAAAAUCCCAAAGUGCUCCCUUCUGCAAUCAAAAG